UGGGGAAUCUUGCGCAAUGGGCGGAAGCCUGACGCAGCAACGCCGCGUGGGGGAUGACGGCCUUCGGGUUGUAAACCUCUUUCGUCAUCGACACGGUAGGUCGAGAAGAAGCACCGGCCAACUACGUGCCAGCAGCCGCGGUAAUACGUAGGGUGCGAGCGUUGUCCGGAAUUAUUGGGCGUAAAGAGCUCGUAGGCGGUGUGUCGCGUCGGCCGUGAAAACCUGGGGCUCAACUCUGGGCGUGCGGUCGAUACGGGCACACUUGAGUUCGGCAGGGGAGACUGGAAUUCCUGGUGUAGCGGUGAAAUGCGCAGAUAUCAGGAGGAACACCGGUGGCGAAGGCGGGUCUCUGGGCCGAUACUGACGCUGAGGAGCGAAAGCAUGGGUAGCGAACAGGAUUAGAUACCCGAGUAGU
rnacentral:rRNA from 1 species